CAGCCGCCACGGUAAUACGGAGGGUGCAAGCGUUAAUCGGAAUUACUGGGCGUAAAGCGCACGCAGGCGGUUUGUUAAGUCAGAUGUGAAAUCCCCGAGCUUAACUUGGGAACUGCAUUUGAAACUGGCAAGCUAGAGUCUUGUAGAGGGGGGUAGAAUUCCAGGUGUAGCGGUGAAAUGCGUAGAGAUCUGGAGGAAUACCGGUGGCGAAGGCGGCCCCCUGGACAAAGACUGACGCUCAGGUGCGAAAGCGUGGGGAGCAAACAGGAUUAGAUACCCCUGUAGUCCCUGUCUCUUAUAC
rnacentral:rRNA from 1 species